UACGAAGGGGGCUAGCGUUGUUCGGAAUUACUGGGCGUAAAGCGUGCGCAGGCGGUUUUGUAAGUCUGUCGUGAAAGCCCCGGGCUUAACCUGGGAAUUGCGAUGGAGACUGCAAGGCUUGAAUCUGGCAGAGGGGGGUAGAAUUCCACGUGUAGCAGUGAAAUGCGUAGAGAUGUGGAGGAACACCGAUGGCGAAGGCAGCCCCCUGGGUCAAGAUUGACGCUCAUGCACGAAAGCGUGGGGAGCAAACAGG
rnacentral:rRNA from 1 species